rnacentral:misc_RNA from 1 species
AAGUCGUAACAAGGUUUCCGUAGGUGAACCUGCGGAAGGAUCAUUAACGUAUCUCUGACGGGGUGUGGUGCGCCCUGCUCCGGCCCAACAGGGCCGUGCAGCGGGUGCGCCGCCCCCGUUCAAACCUUACAAACCCACUGUGAACAUUACUGGCGGAGGGGGGCUCGGUCCUGUGCCGCGUCCUCCGAGGCCACACUACCAAACUCGAGUCGCAAAGAAUGUCGUGCGGACGUUGUGCCGCCUAAAAACAUGUAACAACUUUCAACAACGGAUCUCUUGGCUCUC